rnacentral:rRNA from 1 species
AACGCUAGCUACAGGCUUAACACAUGCAAGUCGAGGGGCAGCACUAGGUAGCAAUACUGAGGUGGCGACCGGCGCACGGGUGCGUAACGCGUAUCCAACCUUCCCGUUACUCUUGGAUAGCCUUCCGAAAGGGAGAUUAAUACAAGAUGGUAUUCAAAUUCCGCAUGUUAUUUGAAUUAAAGAUUAAUCGGUAACGGAUGGGGAUGCGUGACAUUAGAUAGUAGGCGGGGUAACGGCCCACCUAGUCUACGAUGUCUAGGGGUUCUGAGAGGAAGGUCCCCCACACUGGAACUGAGACACGGUCCAGACUCCUACGGGAGGCAGCAGUGAGGAAUAUUGGUCAAUGGUCGGAAGACUGAACCAGCCAAGUAGCGUGAAGGAUGAAGGUUCUAUGGAUUGUAAACUUCUUUUAUACGGGAAUAAAACCUCCCACGUGCGGGAGUUUGUAUGUACCGUAUGAAUAAGCAUCGGCUAACUCCGUGCCAGCAGCCGCGGUAAUACGGAGGAUGCGAGCGUUAUCCGGAUUUAUUGGGUUUAAAGGGAGCGUAGACGGGAUGUUAAGUCAGUUGUGAAAGGCUGCGACUCAACCGCAGCACUGCAGUUGAUACUGGCGUCCUUGAGUGCGGUUGAGGUAUGUGGAAUUCGUGGUGUAGCGGUGAAAUGCUUAGAUAUCACGAAGAACUCCGAUUG